rnacentral:lncRNA from 1 species
GAGUUAGGCAACCUAGGCGGGCGCAUAAGUAAGUCUAAACGUGGUUUCUUAUUUUUUAAACGUCUAAAUAUUAAUCGUGACCGUAACCAACCGCCAAACGUCUAAGCAUGACUUUUUAAAACAGUGAUCUAUUAUUAUAUAUAUUUUUUUGAGUCGAAAAAACAUACUGUUGAUUAUUUUGCGUGCACCGAAUCCCUUUACUUUGUCUUUGGUGUACCAAUUUUCAAAUUCUUGUGACGUUCUUGUUCUGUUGCUUUAAUUCUAAUAAAUGCUUCCUUUGAAAGGAUGGCUAAGGUUUCUGCAUCGACCGUGUACCCAACAAAGAAAAACCAACGCUCGACCAGCUUCCUUUCGUUUACCUUGACUCUGUUAUCAAUUGAGUUUUCUUUUGAAAAAGAAACUUCAACAUCCGAACUUUUUGAACCUCCUUUUUGGCUUUAGCAUGCAGAAAAGUGUUGGUGGUCUUCGCUAAAAUAUUUUUUCUUCGCACAUUUGAUCAUCCAAAGACUUUCCAUGCACUUUCACUGUUACCCUGCAUUAAUGGAUAUUACCGUUUGAUUAUUUUAAUAAUAAUGUUAUUCACAUACUUUUUUUUAUUUCUGACAUAUUAUUUAUUAAUUUUUAUCAUGUGAUAUUUUAAUUCAUUUAAUUUGACGAUUGAAAAAUUAAAAGAUAUGCAUGAUAGAUAAAAAUGAAUGUGUAAAAGUAAAAAUAUGUGUGUAAAUAACUCGUAACACUACCUUAUUUUAUUUAUAUUUAAUUACUAGUUGUAACAUUUUUCAGUUUAAAUUCUAGACGUAGAUUAAAUUAGUCGGCUAGAAUAAGAUGCACCAAAUCUUAAAAUCCUUCGUAGAACAGAGUACUUAAAAUAUCUUUUGCAAAAAAAAUUUGUCUCAUUUUUUCUUUGAGUCUGCCUAACUCAUGGGUGGACAAAUUAAGAAUCCAUAUGGAGUCGUGGAGAAUUGCUCUUUAAUUGGUUUGCAUGCAUGGGCAGCUAGGUUUGUCUUAUUGAGAAACUGGAGGGAUUGACCACAGAGAAAGACGGAGAAAAGGUUAAUAAAUAGGUUGAUGUGUACACACAAGUUCAGACUAACGGCGCCCAAAGAAAGAAAUAAAGAAUAUUGCAUACUAAUUCUCUGAAUUUCUGGAUCUGUGCGCAAAAUACAAUGUCUUAACAAGCAAAAUUUGGUGUUUAAUUAGUUCCAAUUUAAAAGUUGACAUCUUCAUUCGAUAUUUUUGUGAAACUAGUUUAAUUAUGAAACUUUAACGAAAAACUCUCGAUACUGCUCACUUUAACAAAAAAAAUCACAUUUUUAUACUAAAAAGGCAAUCAUGGUACUAUUCAUUUUACUAUUUAUUUUAUCCUUAUCGUUAGAACUUGAAGUUUUCAAACCAUUUUCAUUAGUUUUCUUUUAUAUUAAACAUGUGUAAUGUUCCUUCAUCCAACUUCCUUUGAGAAAAUAGCUAGCUAGCUCAUGUGAUUUUGUAGGCUAAAAAUAAAAGUAGGGCUGCUGGUUAAAAAAAUAAGCUCAUUAAGUUUCGGAAAACUAUAAAGAAAAAAAAAGUAAUUUUGAUUGAAAGUAUUUAUAAUAAAAAAAUUUGUUAGGAUGGUAAAGUUUUAGCGAGGCUACUAUAUUUAACUUGUAAGUUUGAAGUAUACGAAGUAGUGAUAUCUUUCUUUUCGUUAAAAAGAAAAUUAGAUGAUAAGUUAGUGAAUGAAUUUUUUGGUGUGACCGCAGCACGUAAGUUUGUUACAAAUAGAGCUACAUUAUCUUCGAUAUAUGUAUAUUACAGGUAUGCGCACUCAUAGCUUAACUUGUUUAACUUGUAAGAUUGUAACAACAUGAGGUGUAGUCAUGAACCAAUUAAAUUUCAGAUUUAGAGCAUCUCCAAUCAUGAUCUCUAUUUUAUAAAAAAAAUUUAGCUAAAAUUAUUUAAAAGUUAUUUUAAGAGCUCCCUUCUCCCUUCUUAUAUUUAGGAGCUCCUAGAUGAAUUUCUAUGUUAAGAGAUGGAUCAGAUGUAAGAACAAGUUUAUAGCCUCUUAAUCGAAGAAUGUAGAUUCAACCAAUCAAAUCACAACUCAUACAAACAAUUAACAAGAAAGCCUAAGAAUGAAAACCUUAAACUCUUUUCGAUUCUGAUGAUGAAGCCAUUGCAGUUCCUUGUGCUCAAGGCCUUCUUCUCUUUAACAAAAACAAUAGCUCUUCCAAUCAAUAGGACUUGGAACAAUAAUA